AGUCGAGCGGAACGAGUUAUCUGAACCUUCGGGGAACGAUAACGGCGUCGAGCGGCGGACGGGUGAGUAAUGCCUAGGAAAUUGCCCUGAUGUGGGGGAUAACCAUUGGAAACGAUGGCUAAUACCGCAUGAUGCCUACGGGCCAAAGAGGGGGACCUUCGGGCCUCUCGCGUCAGGAUAUGCCUAGGUGGGAUUAGCUAGUUGGUGAGGUAAGGGCUCACCAAGGCGACGAUCCCUAGCUGGUCUGAGAGGAUGAUCAGCCACACUGGAACUGAGACACGGUCCAGACUCCUACGGGAGGCAGCAGUGGGGAAUAUUGCACAAUGGGCGCAAGCCUGAUGCAGCCAUGCCGCGUGUGUGAAGAAGGCCUUCGGGUUGUAAAGCACUUUCAGUCGUGAGGAAGGYGGYGUCGUUAAUAGCGGCRUCRUUUGACGUUAGCGACAGAAGAAGCACCGGCUAACUCCGUGCCAGCAGCCGCGGUAAUACGGAGGGUGCGAGCGUUAAUCGGAAUUACUGGGCGUAAAGCGCAUGCAGGUGGUUUGUUAAGUCAGAUGUGAAAGCCCGGGGCUCAACCUCGGAAUAGCAUUUGAAACUGGCAGACUAGAGUACUGUAGAGGGGGGUAGAAUUUCAGGUGUAGCGGUGAAAUGCGUAGAGAUCUGAAGGAAUACCGGUGGCGAAGGCGGCCCCCUGGACAGAUACUGACACUCAGAUGCGAAAGCGUGGGAGCAAACAGGAUUAGAUACCCUGGUAGUCCACGCCGUAAACGAUGUCUACUUGGAGGUUGUGGCCUUGAGCCGUGGCUUUCGGAGCUAACGCGUUAAGUAGACCGCCUGGGGAGUACGGUCGCAAGAUUAAAACUCAAAUGAAUUGACGGGGGCCCGCACAAGCGGUGGAGCAUGUGGUUUAAUUCGAUGCAACGCGAAGAACCUUACCUACUCUUGACAUCCAGAGAACUUUCCAGAGAUGGAUUGGUGCCUUCGGGAACUCUGAGACAGGUGCUGCAUGGCUGUCGUCAGCUCGUGUUGUGAAAUGUUGGGUUAAGUCCCGCAACGAGCGCAACCCUUAUCCUUGUUUGCCAGCGAGUAAUGUCGGGAACUCCAGGGAGACUGCCGGUGAUAAACCGGAGGAAGGU
rnacentral:rRNA from 1 species